UACGGAGGGUGCGAGCGUUAAUCGGAAUUACUGGGCGUAAAGGGUGCGUAGGUGGUUAUAUAAGUUAUCUGUGAAAGCCCUGGGCUCAACCUGGGAAGGCCAGAUAAGACUGUGUGACUAGAGUAUAGGAGAGGGUAGUGGAAUUUCCGGUGUAGCGGUGAAAUGCGUAGAGAUCGGAAGGAACACCAGUGGCGAAGGCGGCACUCUGGGCCGGUACUGACGCUGAGGAGCGAAAGCGUGGGGAGCGAACAGG
rnacentral:rRNA from 1 species